AACGAACGCUGGCGGCAUGCCUAACACAUGCAAGUCGAACGAGACCUUCGGGUCUAGUGGCGCACGGGUGCGUAACGCGUGGGAACCUGCCCUUAGGUUCGGAAUAACUCCCCGAAAGGGGUGCUAAUACCGGAUAAUGUCUUCGGACCAAAGAUUUAUCGCCUUUGGAUGGGCCCGCGUUGGAUUAGCUAGUUGGUAGGGUAAAAGCCUACCAAGGCGACGAUCCAUAGCUGGUCUGAGAGGAUGAUCAGCCACACUGGGACUGAGACACGACCCAGACUCCUACGGGAGGCAGCAGUGGAGAAUAUUGGACAAUGGGCGAAAGCCUGAUCCAGCAAUGCCGCGUGAGUGAUGAAGGCCUUAGGGUUGUAAAGCUCUUUUACCCGGGAUGAUAAUGACAGUACCGGGAGAAUAAGCUCCGGCUAACUCCGUG
rnacentral:rRNA from 1 species